rnacentral:lncRNA from 1 species
UAACAAUUACUAGGAUCAUACGCAUGCUUUUCUCUUAGCAAUAUUAGUUGUUUAACAUGGAAAUCAAUUUACAACGAGGUCCUUGGAAAGAUAAUAUAUAUCUUUUUUAUUAUAAAAGAUAUAUCAUUAUAAAAGUAUAUCAGGGAACCUUUCAUUGGAUUCUUUGAAAAACGUAUUUUCCUGUGUAUAUUCCUAUGAAUGAAAGGUAACCUUUGAAGUAAUUCUUAGAUCAUAACUGUAAUUGGUUGAAAGUGAAUGCAUGUUGCAAAUACUUUAUUGCCAAUACUUUACGACUUAUAAAGGGCACGAUCAACGAGCCACUGUUAGGGAUAAUUUUAGAAGUUUCAUCCUUCAAAUUUUAUUUAUAUGAAUCACUUCUUCUCACUGUAUGAUUCACUGCUGGUCUUUGAAAGUCGUAAAACAGGGUAUCUUCAAGUAUCUUGAUCUCAAUCCCUUUGCUUCCGAUCCCACCGUCAUAGUUGCUGCAAAAAAAAAAAAAAAUUAUUUUUGGUCAUCUCAGGCACCCUUAAGUGCGAAGAAGCGCCAUCCCCAACACCCAAGAAUGGGUUUCCUCUUCGCCCAACGUCAGGGCCGGUCUUGCUGAUGCGCAGAGGGCUCUAGCUGAGGCCUCCAGACCCCGCUCCUCCGCCGCCAACCCCUUCGGCGAUGCAUUCUGCAUUCUAAGGGCCCGAGACGUGGACCCGGCUCACGGCAGACCUCUCAACUACGGCUUACCUCCAACAACUGGAUUUCGUGAAGAUGAUACAGGAUAUCCAGAGAGACCCUAAUAAAUUAAAACUGCGUUUGAAUAACAAGAGUUAUCCCUCAGAACGUCUUUAUGGUCAUCAUCUUCAUCAUCAGAAACUUUGAAAUUUUGCAGAAGCUAUACCGAGAAGAGAAUUAUGUUUGCGGUGCCACCGAGAUCAAGGAACACCUUGAUUGGAGGCUACGCUCGUGCCGAAAAUUUCACUCGUGCAAUUUCGCUUUUAAAAGAGAUGCAAAAUCAUUGACAUCACUUGUCAAAAAUAUAAAAAUAUUAUUUUCAUAAAAUUUUGAAUUUGAUAGGUGUGAAGAUAUCAUGCAACAGGUUUCUCUUCUACCCUUUGAUGAGAUGAUUUGACUAUGGAAUCUACAAGCGGACCGUUGAUUGACUCGAACUUGGAUCAUUUACAUUCAAGAUGUUAAAUUUUAUCACGCAAUCUUAUUAGGUUAUAAUGUCAUCUUAUUAUAGAAGUAAAAUAUUAAAUAUUUUAUUUAAAGUAUAUUUUUGUGAACAAAAAUAUCCUUUACAGGAAGGUUUAAACUAACAUCCAACCUUAUCAGUUC